rnacentral:tRNA from 1 species
ACGUCGGUGGUGUAGUAGUGGUGAGCGUGGUUGCCUCUUACGCAAUCGGUCUUGGUUCAAUCCUAGUCGACGCC